UGCNAGUCGAGCGGAGAGGGGUAGCUUGCUACUGAUCUUAGCGGCGGACGGGUGAGUAAUGCUUAGGAAUCUGCCUAUUAGUGGGGGACAACAUUUCGAAAGGAAUGCUAAUACCGCACACGUCCUACGGGAGAAAGCAGGGGAUCUUCGGACCUUGCGCUAAUAGAUGAGCCUAAGUCGGAUUAGCUAGUUGGUGGGGUAAAGGCCUACCAAGGCGACGAUCUGUAGCGGGUCUGAGAGGAUGAUCCGCCACACUGGGACUGAGACACGGCCCAGACUCCUACGGGAGGCAGCAGUGGGGAAUAUUGGACAAUGGGCGCAAGCCUGAUCCAGCCAUGCCGCGUGUGUGAAGAAGGCCUUAUGGUUGUAAAGCACUUUAAGCGAGGAGGAGGCUACUUUAGUUAAUACCUAGAGAUAGUGGACGUUACUCGCAGAAUAAGCACCGGCUAACUCUGUGCCAGCAGCCGCGGUAAUACAGAGGGUGCAAGCGUUGAUCGGAUUUACUGGGCGUAAAGCGCGCGUAGGCGGCUAAUUAAGUCAAAUGUGAAAUCCCCGAGCUUAACUUGGGAAUUGCAUUCGAUACUGGUUAGCUAGAGUGUGGGAGAGGAUGGUAGAAUUCCAGGUGUAGCGGUGAAAUGCGUAGAGAUCUGGAGGAAUACCGAUGGCGAAGGCAGCCAUCUGGCCUAACACUGACGCUGAGGUGCGAAAGCAUGGGGAGCAAACAGGAUUAGAUACCCUGGUAGUCCAUGCCGUAAACGAUGUCUACUAGCCGUUGGGGCCUUUGAGGCUUUAGUGGCGCAGCUAACGCGAUAAGUAGACCGCCUGGGGAGUACGGUCGCAAGACUAAAACUCAAAUGAAUUGACGGGGGCCCGCACAAGCGGUGGAGCAUGUGGUUUAAUUCGAUGCAACGCNNANAACCUUACCUGGCCUUGA
rnacentral:rRNA from 1 species